rnacentral:rRNA from 1 species
AGCGAACGCUGGCGGCAGGCCUAACACAUGCAAGUCGAACGGAUCCUUCGGGAUUAGUGGCGGACGGGUGAGUAACACGUGGGAACGUGCCCUUUGGUUCGGAACAACUCAGGGAAACUUGAGCUAAUACCGGAUGUGCCCUUCGGGGGAAAGAUUUAUCGCCAUUGGAGCGGCCCGCGUCUGAUUAGCUAGUCGGUGAGGUAAGGGCUCACCAAGGCGACGAUCAGUAGCUGGUCUGAGAGGAUGAUCAGCCACAUUGGGACUGAGACACGGCCCAAACUCCUACGGGAGGCAGCAGUGGGGAAUCUUGCGCAAUGGGCGAAAGCCUGACGCAGCCAUGCCGCGUGAAUGAUGAAGGUCUUAGGAUUGUAAAAUUCUUUCACCGGGGACGAUAAUGACGGUACCCGGAGAAGAAGCCCCGGCUAACUUCGUGCCAGCAGCCGCAGUAAGAC